UAGCCGUAAACGAUACUCGCUAGGUGUCGGCCACGGUGCGACCGUUGUCGGUGCCGUAGGGAAGCCGUGAAGCGAGCCACCUGGGAAGUACGGCCGCAAGGCUGAAACUUAAAGGAAUUGGCGGGGGAACACAACAACGGGUGGAGCUUGCGGUUUAAUUGGAUUCAACGCCGGAAAUCUUACCGGGACCGACAGCAACAUGAAGGCCAAGCUGAAGACUUUGCCGGAUUAGCUGAGAGGUGGUGCAUGGCGUAGUCGUGU
rnacentral:rRNA from 1 species